CAUGUAGGCGGUUGUUUAAGUCUGAUGUGAAAGCCCUGGGCUCAGCCCAGGAAGUGCAUUGGAUACUGGCCAACUUGAGUACGGGAGAGGAAAGUGGAAUUUCGAGUGUAGGGGUGAAAUCCGUAGAUAUUCGAAGGAACACCAGUGGCGAAGGCGGCUUUCUGGACCGAUACUGACGCUGAGAUGCGAAAGCGUGGGGAGCAAACA
rnacentral:rRNA from 1 species